rnacentral:misc_RNA from 1 species
GUUUGCUUAGGAUCUAACGUGGGCCUUCCUGGGCAAAGGUUAGCUUCAGAAGGUCCAGCUUCUUCAGGAGGGGUAUCUUUUUCAUCAAAAACAAGGCAUGUCCCAAUAGUCUCAUCAUACUGUCCAAUCAGCUUGAUUUUACCAUCGAUGGUCAAGAUGGGGUUCAAUGUGUCAAGACCCGAGAGAACGUAUGGUGCAUUUGGG